ensembl:lncRNA
CCCCCCCCCUCCAGGCUCUUGUAUGUGGCCAUGAGGGUUUAAACUCUUACCCGGGGAGAACUGCUGGGGGGUUUCAGUCUGAACGGUGAACUUCUGAGGAGCCAGACCCCCAGAUGGUGGACUGUUUCAGUCCCUCCCGUAGUCAAAACAAGUGAUCAGGAGAACUGAUAGCUUAAAGAAGCUCAAAACGUGACGGUGAGCAGAUCGAUACGUCUUCAUCAGGAGUAAGUUGAGGCCCGUCGGAUGCGUCCGCAGAGUCAGGUGUCUCAGCUCGCCGCUGCGGGCCGCUGCUGUGGUUUCAUUUUGCUUCCUGCUAUAUAAAAUAUUUUGAUUUGAACUCUUGGUGUGCAGCACACACAUCAGACCUCUGCUGUGCUUGAAGUUGGGUAAAUCUCUGGGUGGAUCUAUGAGGGGAUCUCUGGGUGGAUCUCUGGCUGGUUCUGUUGGGUGGAUCUCUGAGUGGAUCUCUGAGUGGAUCUCUGGGUGGAUCUAGGAGUGGAUCUCUGAGUAGAUCUCUGGGUGGAUCUAUGAGUGGAUCUCUGGGUGGUUCUGUUGGGUGGAUCUCUGAGUGGAUCUAUGAGUGGAUCUCUGGGUGGUUCUGUUGGGUGGAUCUCUGGGUGGUUCUGUUGGGUGGAUCUCUGGGUGGUUCUGUGGGUGGAUCUCUGGGUGGUUCUGUGGGUGGAUCUCUGAGUGGAUCUCUGGGUGGAUCUGUGGGUGGAUCUCUGGGUGGUUCUGUGGGUGGAUCUCUGAGUGGAUCUCUGGGUGGAUCUGUGGGUGGAUCUCUGGGUGGUUCUGUUGGGUGGAUCUCUGGGUGGUUCUGUGGGUGGAUCUCUGAGUGGAUCUCUGGGUGGUUCUGUGGGUGGAUCUCUGAGUGGAUCUCUGGGUGGUUCUGUGGGUGGAUCUCUGGGUGGUUCUGUUGGGUGGAUCUCUGGGUGGUUCUGUGGGUGGAUCUCUGAGUGGAUCUCUGGUGGUUCUGUAGGUGGAUCUCUGAGUGACGAGCUCUACAGACUGUUGAUGGGGGGUCAUCAUUCCAGAAAGUGCUUUCAUCUCGUCCCUCUCUCUCCUCCUCGCUCGAUUCCUUGUCAUGUUUUCUAAGCUGCAGAACGACAGAUAGGUUCACACGGACUGUGUUGUUUUUUUUGUUUAACCCACACAGACACACAUCCUUUAAGUGUCCAUCACCCCCCCAGGGAACCAAUCGCAGGUUGGCAUUGUAACACCAGUAGGAGGAAGGGGGGGGGGGGGCUAUCAGCCUAUUAAAGAGCCACGGAGGAAUUCUCUGUGAAACGGAAACCAGCCGACUGACAGAGACACCACACAGCUGCACGUCUGCAGCGCCGCUGACAAGCCGAGUACUCGCCGCCUUUUAAAAAGCGUCUUCUGUCUCUUCGACCCAAUUUUCCUUUGCUGUCAAUCUCGUGACACAGAUGCGUCCCUUUAGGGCAGAGUCUGCCAACGAGUGGUUUGUCCUUUAAUAGAUCAUCUAUUGGGCUGUUUGAUAAUGUCAAGUUGUCCCGCUUGAUAGAGACACCAAUCAGAGUUCAAGUUUAAGUUUACACACACACACCUUUAAGUCCCAGCACAUCUGGGGAGUUGGGAGGGCCCAAAGGUGUGUGUGUGUGUGUGUGUGUGUGUGUGUUGAGAUAUAAGUGUAUCACACACACCUAGUGUUUCCCUUGGCCUCUGAGGUGCAGACACAGACAGAGAGAGAAGAGGAGGAGAGUGGACAGCCAUGCCCUGCAGUGUUUAGAUAACGAGCCCAGUGUGUGUGUGUGUGUGUGUGUGUGUGUGUGUGUUGGGAUGGAAGCAGCAUGUGGCUUCUCUUCCCACCAGCUAAAUGAUUUUCAUUCUUUCAGCGUGUGAAUUGAGACGAGAUAUCAUGGCGCAUGCCAGUCAGCGGAUGCCGCGGAGGAGCCGGCGCGCUGGUUUGGAUUUUCUCACAAUCUGAUGAGUGUUUCACACGUUUCACUCCCUUAAUUGGUACGAAACCGUGUUAUUCUUGCGUUCUCUUUUACUGUUUGUUCUCUCCGUGUAAACAUGCGACGACGACGACGACGUCAACACGCGGCUGUGGCGGGAUGAUUGGCAGGCGGGAGAAAGGAGAGGAAGUGAGGCUGACAGGACUCUCAGGUGGUGUUAACUCCUUCAUGACAGGCGGAGGCCGCGCCCUCACUGACGAGCACUUAACUCUUCCCUGCCCAGACUUUAGCCAACCAGAUAUUCUUCUACUUUUUCAACUGAAUUUCCUCCAGAUACAAUAUUUCUUUAAUUGUUCUUGUGUCAUUUGCACGCUUGGGUUUUUUGACACGUUGACCUUUCAGCCGUCGAUUCCCUUCUUUGUUUCACCCUCACUUUUUUCUACCCCCUUCCCUCCCCUCCUGCCCUCCACCUCUCUUCCUCCUCUGUUGAGUACUAUCUUGCAUCUGGUUCCUUCUGUCUUCUCCUGUUUCUCUAGAGUGUUUCUGCUGAUCCCUGACUUUCCCUCGCAGUUCCCCAGGGGUGUGAGUCUGUGUGUGCAUGCAAAGCCAGGUGUCUGCUCUUUGGGCUGUGUCUGUCAAUGAUGACGGGGCUAAGGGUGUGUUGGGGGGUUGUGGAGGAGCUGUGCGUGCGUGCGUGUGUGUGUGCGUGUGUGUGUUGGUGAGUGGGAGCUGCCGGGGCACUGUGACCAGGAGCGUCUGGGAGAAAUUCCCUACAUUCCCAGGGAUCUGCCUGGGAUAAAAGCUCCACAGUGCCAUGCACCUGGCUGAGAGAAGCAGAUAUAUACAGAGCACACACACACACACACACACACACGAGCAUCAUCUCUACACCAAUUAACCUGAAAUGUAAAACUACACCAUCAAGUACAAAGGUCAAAUCAGGAAAGUUGAACCCGAGGAUCACCGCUUCUCUCCUUUCACGGCGCACUUAAACAGACGUGUUCUGUUUCUUCGCCACCACCAGAGAAACAGAACAGCGGGUAUAAAACGUUCAACCCCUCCAUGCGUCUCAGUGUAAUCUCCAUCUUCCUCCGUCAGUCGAGCUGUUUACACAAAAGCCGGUGCGACGUUGAGCGAAAGUGCGCUGCUGAAGGUGUUUGUGUGAUCAGAGGCCCCCCGACAGUCCGUCAUCUGUCAGCGGUGGUCAUCAGGAGCGCUAAGAAAAACAAGCAGGGACUCAGACAGGAGGGAGGGGUGCGAACCCCGAACACCGGGUCUAUGUGACGAUGUGUUACACAUGAGUACACGCGGUGCAGUAGCGGCGCGGAGGGCAUGAGGAAACAAGGGAUGAGGAAACGAGGGAUGAGGAAAAAAGGUACUUCCAUCAAUUUGAUCUCGUGUUUCGGGCCUAGUUUGUGAACACUUGCUUGUCACUUUUUCUUUUACACGUGGGCUUUUUUGUGCUAAGCUAAGCGGCUAGCUACGAGAGCGGCAUCGACCUUCUUAUCUCUCGGGCAACAAAGCAAAAUUGUAUUUCUGGCAUUUCCCAGAAAAUAGUUGAAACCUUAAGAACACGUUAAGCCUUUAGAAGAUCCUUUUCUUCCACCGCUGCUCAUUAUCUCAAAUGAGUUUGUUUCCUCCGUCUUCUCUUAAUGAUUCCUCCAGAUCAUUGAAUUCAACGACUCUUUGUGUUUGUUCCAUAAUUCAAAAAACAGUUGGCAGGUUGGACAAAAGACGCAGAACCUGUUUUUUCCUGCAACUGAUUUUAAUAUUAAGUGAAUAAAACGUGAAUAUGAAUAAGUUCAUAAUAGGUUGAAUAGGUGAAUAUUAGGACUCCCAGCUGUGGUGAGUUAUUGGAUACUGGAUUGUUGGAUGUUCCUUCGCUCGUCCUUCGGUUUUCUCUCCACAGCUGACUCCGCUUUUCAGUCCACCUCUUUGAUACAGAGCAAGUGUUUACUUGUACUUCACUCCCCUCCUGUUCUUUUGUUAUUCCUCCCUUCACUCUCCUCAUCCCUCCCUCUCCUCCGCGUGUCAGUGUACAUGCAGGUGUGUUUUUCUAUGUACGUGUGUGUGUAUGUGUGUGUGUGUGUCUGCUGGAAUGUUGACCCACACGGGAAGAGGGUGAGAGACUUCCCAGACAUCAAAGCGCAGGUAGCUGACAGGCAGAAGAGGGGCCGAUAAGUCCAGUCGGAUGACAAUAGGCCCCCCAACGCACACCUGGACUGUAUGGAGAGGCAGCGACGUGGAGCGAACUGCACACACACAUGCACACACACACGCACACACAUGCACACACAUGCACACACAUGUGGCACACUUGCAGAUCAACGCGUUCUCAUUCAUUUCCCUCUGCAGUUUUUCUCCAGACGCACACAUCCGCCUCGGAGCACUCGGCUCGGUUACCAUGCAUGUCUUCUUUGCCUCAGCCUCCACCCGCCAUGCACCCGGAGAGCCCCCACCGCCCCCCACCCGAUACACACCCACCGACCUCUGCACCCACAGGUGUCGGGGUCUUUGUCCUUGGACAUGUGUGAGCAGCCCGAUGUUGUGACGAGCCCUCAAACCGCUCAGCCGCCCAGGCCUCUCCUCUCAGGUGCAGAGGGGUCCCAGGUAAGGCAGGGGGGAGGCAGGGGGGAGG